rnacentral:rRNA from 1 species
GAUGAACGCUGGCGGCGUGCCUAAUACAUGCAAGUCGAGCGAACAGACGAGGAGCUUGCUCCUUCGACGUUAGCGGCGGACGGGUGAGUAACACGUAGGUAACCUACCUAUAAGACUGGGAUAACUUCGGGAAACCGGAGCUAAUACCGGAUAAUAUUUCGAACCGCAUGGUUCGAUAGUGAAAGAUGGCAUUGCUAUCACUUAUAGAUGGACCUGCGCCGUAUUAGCUAGUUGGUAAGGUAACGGCUUACCAAGGCAACGAUACGUAGCCGACCUGAGAGGGUGAUCGGCCACACUGGAACUGAGACACGGUCCAGACUCCUACGGGAGGCAGCAGUAGGGAAUCUUCCGCAAUGGGCGAAAGCCUGACGGAGCAACGCCGCGUGAGUGAUGAAGGUCUUCGGAUCGUAAAACUCUGUUAUUAGGGAAGAACAAACGUGUAAGUAACUGUGCACGUCUUGACGGUACCUAAUCAGAAAGCCACGGCUAACUACGUG